rfam:Picea glauca, whole genome shotgun sequence.
UAUGUACAUGCCUACAUCAUUAAUGCAUCAGAUCGCGUUAGAACUAUGUAAUUAAGUGCACUUGUGCUAGAGUAGUAUUGGGAUGGUUGGUGACCUCCUGGGAAGUCCUAGUGGUUUACAUGC